CCUACGGGUGGCAGCAGUGGGGAAUAUUGGACAAUGGGCGAAAGCCUGAUCCAGCCAUGCCGCGUGUGUGAAGAAGGCCUUCGGGUUGUAAAGCACUUUCAGUGGGGAAGAAAGCCUUGGGGCUAAUACCCUCGAGGAAGGACAUCACCCACAGAAGAAGCACCGGCUAACGCCGUGCCAGCAGCCGCGGUAAUACGGAGGGUGCGAGCGUUAAUCGGAAUUACUGGGCGUAAAGCGCGCGUAGGCGGUCUGAUAAGCCGGUUGUGAAAGCCCCGGGCUCAACCUGGGAACGGCAUCCGGAACUGUCAGGCUAGAGUGCAGGAGAGGAAGGUAGAAUUCCCGGUGUAGCGGUGAAAUGCGUAGAGAUCGGGAGGAAUACCAGUGGCGAAGGCGGCCUUCUGGACUGACACUGACGCUGAGGUGCGAAAGCGUGGGUAGCAAACAGGAUUAGAUACCCUGGUAGUC
rnacentral:rRNA from 1 species